rnacentral:rRNA from 1 species
UCUUGCAAACUAAAGAUGGCGACCGGCGCACGGGUGAGUAACACGUAUCCAACCUGCCGAUAACUCGGGGAUAGCCUUUCGAAAGAAAGAUUAAUAUCCGAUGGUAUAUUAAAACCGCAUGGUUUUACUAUUAAAGAAUUUCGGUUAUCGAUGGGGAUGCGUUCCAUUAGUUUGUUGGCGGGUAACGGCCCACCAAGACUACGAUGGAUAGGGGUUCUGAGAGGAAGGUCCCCCACAUUGGAACUGAGACACGGUCCAA